UACCUGGUUGAUCCUGCCAGUAGUCAUAUGCUUGUCUCAAAGAUUAAGCCAUGCAAGUCUAAGUACGAGCUCUCGUACAGUGAAACUGCGAAUGGCUCAUUAAAUCAGUUCAUUUGAUCGUACAGUUUACUUGGAUAACUGUGGUAAUUCUAGAGCUAAUACAUGCGAGAAGCGCCGACCUCGCGGGAGGCGUGCAUUUAUCAGACCAAAAACCGGCCGCGUCUUCGGGCGCGUUCGCCUUGGUGACUCUGGAUAACUUUGCGGAUCGCACGGUCUAGCACCGGCGACGGAUCAUUCAAGUGUCUGCCCUAUCAACUUUCGUCGGUACGGUAUUUGCCUACCGAGGUUCUUACGGGUGACGGGGAAUCAGGGUUCGAUUCCGGAGAGGGAGCCUGAGAAACGGCUACCACAUCCAAGGAAGGCAGCAGGCGCGCAAAUUACCCAUUCCCGACGCGGGGAGGUAGUGACGAAAAAUAACAAUGCAGGACUCGUUCGAGGCCCUGUAAUUGGAAUGAGUACACUUUAAAAGCUUUAACGAGUAUCCAUUGGAGGGCAAGUCUGGUGCCAGCAGCCGCGGUAAUUCCAGCUCCAAAAGUAUAUAUUUAAGUUGUUGCGGUUAAAAAGCUCGUAGUUGGAUUUUGGGCGCAGGCGGCCGGUCCGUCGCAAGGCGUGUACUGGACGGACUGGC
rnacentral:ncRNA from 1 species